CCAUUCUCAAAGACAAGAAAAAUCUUGCAACCAGGUCCUAGCAAUUUGCAGCCACCACCCUCAGCUUCCCGUUUCCUUAUUUCCUCACAACCGGGAAUUCAUUCAUUUUUCAACAACAUAGUAACCCGGAUUCCUCCUAAAGUACUACUACCAGAACCACACUGGUCAAUAAAAAUGAAACUAGAACAAUUGCAUUGAAUCAUCUACACUAGCUACUAGUGCAACUUAAUUAGCAAAAAAAAAAGAUGAUUUGUUUCUCUCGUAUAUAAUAUACAACCUGGUUAAUGAAGUUUAGACCCAAACUGAAAAGGCAUGACAGCGCACUGCACUGAAAGAAAGCGGGAAAAUUAAAACAUCCUCAAGUUGUACGUAAACUAAGAACAAAAUGCACACAGUUGGCCGCAUGCUGGCUAGCACCAAACCAGUCUCGCCAACCAAUAGUAAAUCUGUAAUAGAAGUCACAAGGCAAGCUGGGAGAAACUGUACCGGCGCUGCCGCCGGCUGCUGCUCAAAGCGUGUCUCCGCUCCGAGAAGCCUCCACGCAGGACCUCCUCUGCCACGCACAAGGUGCUUGAUCGCUACGGCAGCCAUAGAUGCCGGCUGCCCACAUAUCCAUCUGCCAAGAAGAAAGAUCCUUAAAAUAGGUUGAGAGAAUGCACAUCACACAAAAAGAAUCCAGAUGGGUUUGAAAGCAUACAAAGGAAAAGUGGGGGAGGGGAUGGGGUGGAAGGAAGCUCACCGAGAAGGACGGGAGGUGAUAGCCGGCGGCUGGGACCGGCUGCCGGACGACGAUGAGCCACGCUGAGGGGCGGCUGGGGUGCACGGCCUCCGCCACGGCUGAUCGGUAUUGAUGCAUCAUCAGCAGGAACAUGUUUAGAUCUUCAUGUAUCCAUUAUAGAUGAGGCGAGGUGGGGAGCAAAU
rnacentral:lncRNA from 1 species